UACGAAGGGGGGCUAGCGUUGCUCGGAAUGACUGGGCGUAAAGGGCGCGUAGGCGGAUGGCACAGUCAGAUGUGAAAUUCCCGGGCUUAACCUGGGGGCUGCAUUUGAUACGUGUUGUCUUGAGUUCGGAAGAGGGUCGUGGAAUUCCCAGUGUAGAGGUGAAAUUCGUAGAUAUUGGGAAGGAACACCGGUGGCGAAGGCGGCGACCUGGUCCGACACUGACGCUGAGGCGCGAAAGCGUGGGGAGCAAACAGG
rnacentral:rRNA from 1 species